rnacentral:rRNA from 1 species
UACAGAGGUCCCGAGCGUUGUUCGGAUUCACUGGGCGUAAAGGGUGCGUAGGUGGCAUGGUAAGUUUGAUGUGAAAGCUCAGGGCUCAACCCUGAAAUGGCAUUGAAUACUAUCGUGCUGGAGGUUUGGAGGGGGGACUGGAAUUCUUGGUGUAGCAGUGAAAUGCGUAGAUAUCAAGAGGAACACCAGUGGCGAAGGCGAGUCCCUGGACAACACCUGACACUGAGGCACGAAAGCUAGGGGAGCAAACGGG